rnacentral:rRNA from 1 species
AGAGUUUGAUCAUGGCUCAGAAUCAACGCUGGCGGCGUGCCUAACACAUGCAAGUCGCACGAGAAAGUGGAGCAAUCCAUGAGUAAAGCGGCGAACGGGUGAGGAAUACAUGGGUAACCUACCCUCGAGUGGGGAAUAACUAGCCGAAAGGUUAGCUAAUACCGCGUACGCUCCUUGGACUUCGGUUCAGGGAGGAAAGCGAUACCGUGGGUAUCGCGCUCUUGGAUGGGCUCAUGUCCUAUCAGCUUGUUGGUGAGGUAACGGCUCACCAAGGCUUCGACGGGUAGCUGGUCUGAGAGGACGAUCAGCCACACUGGCACUGCGACACGGGCCAGACUCCUACGGGAGGCAGCAGUAAGGAAUAUUGCGCAAUGGGCGAAAGCCUGACGCAGCGACGCCGCGUGGGGGAUGAAGGUCUUCGGAUUGUAAACCCCUUUCGGGAGGGAAGAUGGAACGAGCAAUCGUUCGGACGGUACCUCCAGAAGCAGCCACGGCUAACUUCGUGCCAGCAGCCGCGGUAAUACGAAGGUGGCAAGCGUUAUUCGGAUUUACUGGGCGUACAGGGAGCGUAGGCGGUUCGGUAAGCCCUCUGUGAAAUCUUCAGGCUUAACCUGGAAAAGUCGGAGGGGACUGCUGGGCUAGAGGACGGGAGAGGAGCGCGGAAUUCCCGGUGUAGCGGUGAAAUGCGUAGAGAUCGGGAGGAAGGCCGGUGGCGAAGGCGGCGCUCUGGAACGUUUCUGACGCUGAGGCUCGAAAGCGUGGGGAGCAAACAGGAUUAGAUACCCUAGUAGUCC